rnacentral:piRNA from 1 species
UGGGUUGUGCCUUCUGCAUGUUCUCUGGU